GCAUAAAUCGAAAUUGAAAUUGAAAUGUGGUAACCUAAUUCCCCUCUCGAUCGCCACCCCACCCCUCUCUUGUCUCUGCUUCUCUCUCUCUCGUCGGAUCACGCCGACGUAAAAGAAUCCCUCUGUUCCUCUACAGCUGCAUCAGUCCGUGUAGCUGACGUUCGAGGCCGAGGACAAGUCUUGGUGAGGACAGAAUUUGUUUUCCAGAUCUGUGGCUGUGAGUUCAUUUCUCUAAGUUUGCUAUUAAAGAGUGAAAGUCAAGGAUGUUGAAGUUUCUAUCAAAAGUAAGAAUCGAGUUCAAUGCAUUGGACCCUCGACUGGCCUCAUGCAUGGAGUUCUUGGCUCAAUGCAAUGCAACAAAGGCCAAAGAAUCGAACCCGGCUUGCCAGGUCGUGGUCAAACGCCGAACCGACGAUCACCCACCACAGAUCCAUGUGACUUUUGUCAAUGGGGUUGAGGAGGUCUUUGAUGCGACGUCAACCUCGGCUCAGUCCAUCAGAAAGAUGAUUCUGGAUAAGGGUCAGUAUCUUGAGACCGAGCAGAUGUUCCGUGAAGCGGGAGAGCAGUGGCCUGUCAUCAUCCCGGGCGAGGAGCUUCACCAACCGGCUCCUGGUGUCAAGCCUAGGAAAGCAGAAGAGAAAAAGCAGUAAUGCUGCUGCAUUGCCCCUUUCCAAGAUAAUCACGUGUAAUCUUGUUGCAUGGCCGGUCUAGCUUCCGAACCAUCGUAGAUUUGAACCUAGAUUGUGAUUUAGGACAAACUCACGAACAUGGACAGAUUAAGGGCAAAAGGGACAUCAGAGAUGGAAGCCAAGGAAGAGCAAAAUUUUAGCUAUCUCAAGAAGAAAAGAUGGAUACCUGACGGGACGUGAUCUGAGGAGCGGAAUAGUUUAUUGGAGCCUUGAUCAGAAAAAGAGGUUUAGACAAAGAUAUCCGAAAGUCGAAGCAACAAGACACCAUAGGAGCGAGCUUAGAGGACAAAGACGGAGAAAUGAAGGACUUUCCAUGGUCUGUCUUUUCGUAACAUUAUCUACAAUCUGAUGAUAAUGAUGAUGAAUUAGUUCAAAAAUUGUCAAUGGUUCCUUCUCCGUGUAGGGGUGGGAAUAGGUUGGAUAUUAUCUGGUCAAUAAAGAUGAAACGAUAUAAGGAGGGCGAGGCGCCGGAGAUGAAAUGGUGAGAUGCCAAAAACAAAUUUUCUUGUAUUUAUACGUAUUUCCUUCAUUGAUCUCGUCGUAUAACAAAGAGCGGAGCCGAAAAAAAUAAUGGAUAAGAAUUCUCUCUCCUGACAACUGUUGUUUUAGUUGUUUUGUCUUCGGUCAUCUGGUUCUGCAAGGAAACCGAAGCCAGUUUGGUUAGAGAACCGGCUUGGUUAUCAGAAGAAUUCCGGUUUAAUCCCGGUUAAUA